GUUUAGGUUCCCAUGCUGCACCACAGAGAUGCCAUAGCAAGACAAGCAUGAAACUCAUUCUGCUUCAACCUGCUGGGACAAGUAUUGCUAACACCUCAUGCAUUACGCUGUGUUAAGUCCAGAGCCUAGCCAGGAACUGCCAGAGUGAGGAAGAAUGUGAGGAGGCCACAUACACAGAUGUGCAUGAAACUACUGUGUGAAGCAAUUGGCAUAUGCUUGUAGCAGUCGGUCUGGUUGAUGCAAUGGAAUGCUGAUUCUGGUCCUGUGAGACAAGCACAGACUGGUGGGACCUCAUAGGUUUAUGAAAAGGGGAGGAGACUUGCAAACCUGGACAUGACUGGCUUGAUUUCAGUAUUUGAACAGAGAAUGAUAGAAAAUCCAUUGUGUUUAAAAAAAA